rnacentral:sRNA from 1 species
CGGACGUGGAUGCGGAGGUCGACUGAU